AGCGAACGCUGGCGGCAGGCUUAACACAUGCAAGUCGAGCGCCUGUAGCAAUACAGGAGCGGCAGACGGGUGAGUAACGCGUGGGAACGUACCCUUUGGUUCGGAACAACACAGGGAAACUUGUGCUAAUACCGGAUAAGCCCUUACGGGGAAAGAUUUAUCGCCGAAGGAUCGGCCCGCGUCUGAUUAGCUUGUUGGUGAGGUAACGGCUCACCAAGGCUACGAUCAGUAGCUGGUCUGAGAGGAUGAUCAGCCGCACUGGGACUGAGACACGGCCCAGACUCCUACGGGAGGCAGCAGUGGGGAAUAUUGGACAAUGGGCGCAAGCCUGAUCCAGCCAUGCCGCGUGAGUGAUGAAGGCCCUAGGGUUGUAAAGCUCUUUCGGCGGGGAAGAUAAUGACGGUACCCGCAUAAGAAGCCCCGGCUAACUUCGUGCCAGCCGCCGCAGUAACAC
rnacentral:rRNA from 1 species